UCCCGUGCUUCGCCGAAAGCCGGGGCGUGGGAAGGGCCUGCAGCGCGAGGUCCGGCUGUGUGUCCCUUUCAGCGCUUGGGGCCGAGGCCGGGAUGGCUCCUUGGAGCUUCCAGUAUUUACUUAGCACCUACUACGUGCCCAGCCCUGUGGAUACAGAGAUGAACAAAGCCUAAUUCCUGCUCACAAAAGACUUUCUGACUAGUGAUGCGACUACCCUGUUUAUGAAGAGAGAAAAACUGAGUGCCAGGGAAGGAGCAGACAGGCUCAGGAUCACACAGCUUGAGCAAAGUGCGAACCAGAAUGAGAGGAAGAGAGAGGGAGAGACGGAGAAUGAGAGGGAGAGGAGGUGGUUCUCUUCCCAAUUUGACCCACUCCAUGGGACUCCUGCCUCGAGGACAGAGGGACUGCCCUGGUCUGAAGUAAUUUCCUCUACAAAUUUCAAGUAAAUCCUUGAAAUGGAGCAAAGUCCACUCCAAUGCAAAACUUGUCUCUGUUCUGCGUGUGGAGCCCAUCUCAAAUAAAGGUGGGCGAAGCUCUUA